UUUUAUAUAUUUUAGAGGCAUUCAUCAAUGUCAUUACUAAUGACAAACAGGAGAAACGGAGACAGAAGAUGGAAAGACUGAUCUUCACAGACAGCAGUCAAAAAAAAGCAAAAGAAAGCAUUCAAAACUGGAAAUAAGAUAGAAAGCCGUGGAACAUCUAGACGAGUCAUGGACCCCAACAUCUAAAAAGAACUUGACGGAGUGCAUUCGGUUGGACAUAACUUCACCC